UGCACAUGUCUAUUUUUAUUUGAAUCUUCAGAAUGUCCAAACUUUUAAACACUAUGGUAUGACUGAACAAUCUAAACUGUUUGACAUUGUUUGAUGUAAAUAAAAUACUCCGGUCAUUCUUAGUAUGCAAUCUGCAGUAGUGCUUCGAAAAAACACUAGGGGAAAUGACUUGAAUGGAGAAAUGUUGAGAGACCAACCUGCUACCUGAAAAGUGCAGCAUGCCCACAUGAGAGUCACUAAUACUCUCACACAUCUUUUUUCAAUAGCCCUUCUUUAAAACAAUCUGGUGGGAAAAAACGUUCAAGGUCACAAGUCACAAUCUGGUGGAGUAUGACUCAACAUACUCUAUAAUUUACUGAAUGAAUGGAGGUAAAAGUAUGGAGUAUUUACUGAAUGAAUAAUCAAGUAAACAAUGCAUGGAGGUAAAAGGAUAAAAGAAGCUAAAUUCACGGGGAAGAAUAGAGCAAAAUAAUUUAGACAGAAUAAAUUCUGAAAGAACCUCUGCCAUCUGUUGAUAUGUUGAUUUACUUUAAAUAAAAAUCAUAGACUGAAAAUGUUGUCAUCUGGAUUACACAUGUUCUUUUUCUCAUUAAAGGGUCAUGAGACAGCUAUUGAAAACAGACUGGAGUAAAUUGUUUUUCUAAGAACACAAACACAACAAAAACAGGUUCAUGACUGGAGUAGUACUGUAAUAAGACCCGACAAAACAUCUUUUGGAGAACAUGGAUCUACUGAAAAUGUUGUACUGCUCCAAUUGAUCAUUUUCAUUUCCAAAAUGUACUGGUGUGCAUCUUGAAAGUUCAACCUCUUACCUUGAAAGUUCUUUUCAGUUGCCUGGAGAACAUGGAUCUCCCAGACCUCAAGUACACCCCACCUGCAGAAGAUGAAGAUGAAAUGGACGAAGAUGUAAGAGAUGAAAUGGACGAAGAUGUAGGAGAUGAAAUGGACGAAGAUGAAAUGGACGAAGAUGUAGGAGAUGCAAUUGUUCAACAUGCAGGUAAAUGAAUCAAAUGAUCAUGAGUAGAGAGUAAAUGACUCAAAUGACUUGUGUAAAUGCAUUGUUGUACUCCAUUUGAUCAUAUAUUUUCUUUGUGCAGGUGUUGAGCAAGCAAUUCAGAAAAGGGAUAUCCUAGAUGACAAGCAAAGAUAUGUUGCUUAUGUUGCAAUGCAUACAUUGUGCAUGAGUAGAGGGGGAAAGUUUAAGAGAGAUGACAAGAAAAAUAUUGCUGAUUUCUUUGGAGUGGGUGUUUGGAAUAUACAAAGAAUUUGGAAGAAAGCGAUGGAGCAAAUUGCUGAAGGUCUGGAUGUAGAUGUUUCAAGUCAGGGGAAAGAAAAUUGUGGAAGAAAGCCGAAAGACAUCAAUCUAGAGCAAAUCCCUACCAUCCCACUAAACAGGAGGUCUACUAUCAGGUCAUUUGCCUGGCAACUCGGGUGCAGCCCUACGACACUCCACCGGAAGUUCAUGCUGAAGUUGAUAAAGAGGCGUACAAACUGUUUGAAGCCAGCUCUGAAUGAAAAGAACAAGAAGGAUAGAGUGAAAUUUUGCUUGUAAAUGCUCGAUGAGACAACAACACAAACUGAAAGGCCAAAAUUCAAGACCAUGCACAACAUUAUUCAUAUUGAUGAGAAAUGAUUCUAUAUGACCAAGAAAAAAAGGAACUAUUAUCUGCUGUAUGGGGAGGAAGAGCCUACGAGAACUCUGCAAAACGGCAGUUAUAUUGGAAAGGUUAUGUUCUUGACAGCUGUUGCUAGGCCGAGGUGGGAUAAUGAAGGAAAUGUGACCUUCUCUGGAAAAAUUGGAAUUUGGCCGUUUGUGAAAGAAGUUCCGGCUCAGAGGAGAAGCGACAACAGGCCCAGAGGAACAUUGGAGACAAAGUCCAUAAAAGUCAACAGGCAAGUAAUGAGAGAGUUCAUGAUAGAGAACCUACUUCCAGCAAUACAAGCAUCUUGGCCUGAGAAUGAUGUUGGGCAAACCAUCUAUAUACAGCAAGACAACGCUAAGCCUCAUAUCUUGCCUAACGACCUAGAAUUUGUAGCAGCUGUGGAAAGAACUGGAGUCGAUAUCAGACUAAUUCAACAACCUGCCAAUAGCCCAGAUCUGAAUGGCCUUGACCUUGGGUUCUUCAACUCGUUGCAAUCUCUAACAGAUUGUCUAAGCCCUAGAACGCUUCAGGAUCUUAUCAAGGGUGUGCUAGAUGAAUUUGAAAACUAUGAGGUUUACAAGUUGAACAGAGCUUUCCUAUCUCUACAAGCUUGCAUGAUUGAAAUCUUGAACCAUGCGGGGGCCAAUGGGUAUAAAAUACCCCAUGCGAACAAGGAAAGGCUAGAGAACCUUGGGAUGCUACCUCCAAGACUUACAUGCCCUCGAGAGGUAUAUGCAAAUGCCCUGCACAAUCUUGGGAUAAUGGAGAGAGUUGCUUGUUGAGAUGCUUGUCGAGAUGCUUGAGGAGUUGCUAGUUGAGAUGCUAGUUGAGAUGCUUGAGGAGUUGCCUGUGGAGAUGCUAGUUAAGAUGCUUGAGGAGUUGCUUGUUGAGAUGCUUGAGGAUUUGCUUGUUGAGAUGCUAGUUGAGAUGCUUGAGGAGUUGCUUGUCGAGAUGCUUGAGGAGUUGCCUGUUGAGAUGCUUGUUCAGAUGCUUGAGGAGUUNNNNNNNNNNNNNNNNNNNNNNNNNNNNNNNNNNNNNNNNNNNNNNNNNNNNNNNNNNNNNNNNNNNNNNNNNNNNNNNNNNNNNNNNNNNNNNNNNNNAUAUGCUAGUUAAGAUGCUUGAGGAGUUGCUUGUUGAGAUGCUUGAGGAUUUGCUUGUUGAGAUGCUUGAGGAGUUGCUUGACGAGAUGCUUGUCGAGAUGCUUGAGGAGUUGCCUGUUGAGAUGCUUGUUCAGAUGCUUGAGGAGUUGGUUGUCGAGAUGCUUGUCGAGAUGCUUGAGGAGUUGCUUGUUGAGAUGCUUGAGGAGUUGCUUGUUGAGAUGCUUGAGUUGCUUGUGAUUAUUUGUGUGGAGUAUGUGUAACUACUUGUUUGUGUGGAGUAUAUGUAAACCCUAGAGAUGAGGCUUGUGUGGAGUAUAUGCAACUCCUUGAGAAGAGACUUGUGUGGAGUGCAUCAUUUGUAUGAUCAUUUUCGGAAAACCCCAUGUGAAAUUACUCCAUAUGUUUGCAAAAGGCUUCUAUGGACUGGAUUUUACUCCAUAUAUAUGAUCAUUUUUGUUUGAAAAGUUUCAUUUAAUUUUGUGUGGAGUGCAUCAUUUGUGUGAUCAUUUUUGUUUAAUUAAGAGAUAAGAGGAGAGGGCAUUGGAAGAGAGAGAGAGGGAGAGAGAGAGAGAGAGGAAACUGGAAGAUACUCCUAAUGCAAGCACUCCAUUUACAGUACUCCUAAUGCUUGUACUGCAGUAAAACUACUCCUAAUGCUAUAACAGUUAACAACAACUGAAAUUACUGUAAUGUCCAACCAGAGGUCAGAAAAUAUGCUUCAAAUUUUGACAAAACUUCAGUUAAUUUUGACUCCAGAUUUACAACUUCAUUUCAGACAAAACUUCACUGAAUCACUAAAUAUUUUCAGAUACAAAAGCUGCACAUUCAUGACUAAGACAAUUCCUAACAAAACUACUCCUCUCUUGAGAAGUUGGAGUAACAGAAGUUGCACUUGCAUAAGUACAGAAGGUACACACACUAAAUUCUCAAUUUUCUGAAGAAGCACAUGCAGACCCAAGACAAUUUUUCUAAAGUUUAAUAAAACUACAGAAGCUGCACCACGACUAAGCUACAGAAUUUCCCUCGCCAAAGCAAUGAACAUUCAUGACUAGCAAGGGAACUGCAAGAUUAACAAGCUACUCUGAAGCUGAAGCUACAGAAGUUCAACAAGCUACAGAAGUUGGAGUAAUAGAAGCUUCAUGAGAAGAUUCAUAGUGAUGAAUUCAUGAGAAACUUCUUUGUUAAUCUACAGAAGCUAAAGAAGAUUCAUAAGCUAGUGAAGCUACAGAAGCUUCAUGUGUAACAGAGGCUACAGAAGCUUCAUGAGUAACAGAAGGCUACACAAACUUCAUGAGAAGUUGGAGAAUACCAUGAGGACGACAAGGUAGGUAUUGCAGCAGCAGGCUUCUCCCUCCAUGGCCCUCCUCUCCUCUUGAAUCGAUAUGGGCAGGAGCUUUUCUCUUCAUGGCCUGGCCUCCUUC
rnacentral:lncRNA from 1 species